GACGCGGUGGCCUAAUGGUUAGCGCGCUGGACUCUGGACCCGCGAGCGGUCCUGGUUCGAGCCCUGGUGGGGGUCACUGUGUUG